UGGGGGGGCGGGGGCCCCAGCUUCCAGGGGAGAGCGCGUGAGUGCCGCGGUGGGGAAACUUACUUCUCCCGGAACAGGGGCUGGGACACUGGACCAUUCUCCCUCCCCGAGUUGGUUUGGCCCAGUGCCCUCAAAAGCCCCGAACCUGCAGUUAUUUUCAAAGCUGCGAUUUAUUUGCAGGAAGAGCCCUUGGCGCAGGCUGCAGGCUGGGGAGAGGGGAGUUGCACGGAUGUGCGUGUUGUGGCCUAAGUGCCGUGGAGGGGAUGCCUGGAACCUGCGAGCCCAGCUGGAGGCCUUGGCUGACUCCUCACGGAGGAAGGCAGGGGACCUUUCCUCACAAAGGCCGAUGAGUCAGCCUGGACUGUUCCUCAGUCAGGGCUGCUGGCCCUGGAGAGAGGAACAGCAGAUGGCUAGGGUUGGCCCCUGUGGUUCGGGGGCAGGGUCCAAGAGGGCAAGAGGGAGCCCCUGGCCCAAAGGAAGCAACUGGACCGGUGUGGCUCCCUGGCCCUUUCUCCCUUCAGAACUCCUCUCCUGUCCUCACCCUGAACCUCGUCCCGUCCCGUGUCUGUUAGAUCUUGAAUCAGCCUCUGUUAAACACCUCACCCCAGCCCUGCUCACUUCCUUGCACAACUGCAAAGGCUCUCCUUUGCUCUGCUGCUCACUGACAGUAAUCCACAGGAGCACAAGACCUUUAAGAACACAGAUCAGAAACCCACAGAGCAGGCUUUCCCCGACACGUGGCCUUAGCCUUGCAGGUCCCCACGCCCGGAUCGCCCUCUCAGGCUCCUUCACAAGACCGUCGCUCUCCCACUGCCCUUCCACAACCCCACCUGCUCAAUCCCCACUGCCUCGCCACCUUCUGCCUUUCUUCCAGGGGGUUCACCACCUUCUGCAGUUCUCUCAUUGGCCUCAUUUGUGGUGUGUAUCACUUGCCAGAAUGCCAGCUUUAUGAACCCUGUGCCUGGCACAGACCUCGUGGUACUCAAGACAACAGACAUUUAAGGGAUGAAGUGGCCCCUGGGGAACACACCAAAUGCUGGCCCCUUUGGUCACCUCCCAGAGGAGUCUCCCUAGCAGGGCCAGCUGCAGAUACCUGUACCCACCUACUCACCCAGCCGCCUGGCACAAGUAGGCAAGCCUGUGGUUUAUUAGAACAAUAAUCUUAGCAGCCCCCAUUUACUGAAUGCUUAGUAUGGGCUGGGCAUUAGUUUAAUUGGGCUUAACUAGUUUAAUUUGUACGCCUUCCCCAUGAAGUAAGCACUAAUAUCUCUAGUUUACAAAGCAGAACAAAAAUGCACUCACAGACCCACACCAGGACCCAGAGUGUUCAUGGUCAGUCAGCAAACCCAAACACGCGUGGUGACACUGACUUCACUACAGAAGACCACGCAACAGACCUGGGGCUGGGGGAUAAAUAUGACGAUGGGCCUGUGCCGGCUAACGCCCACUGCACAAGGCGGAGCAGAACAGAAAUAGAACAAGACCCCAGGCAGGGUGAGCGUGUGAAAGGCUGGUCAUGUGGCCGGCUUGGUUGAGAGAGUAAGGGCAGUGUGGCCGCAGCCAUGUCUGAGUCCUCACAGCACCCGCAGGGUGCAGAGGGAAGGGCCUGGUGCCAGAGGAGUGAUCCUUAGGGACGGGGAAGCCACAUUAGCACAACGGUGGGGCAGGUGUAAAUGACGAGGGCUUGCGCAGGAAAGAAUCAGGGAGAGGGUGCAGGUUACCAGCACAAUAGCUGGUGGGAAUGAUGCUUUGCUUUUGUUUUGUUUUCCGGAGACAGGGUCUGGAAUUCAUACUGGCCUUGGACUCACUGUGUAGCCCAGGCUGGCCUCGAACUCAUGGUGAUCCGUCCACCUCAGCCUCCUGAGUGCUGGGAUUAUAGGUGUGGGCCACCACACCAGCUGGAACUCCGCUUUGAUACCUCCUGAACCACAGCCCACUGCUGUGUGGCCAUCCGGGCAGGAGACCUGGCUGUCCUCAAUCAUCACUUCCUCUGCACUUGGCCUGGCACAGAGCAGAAGUCCGUAGGUGUUUGUUGGGUGGAUUCCCGAGUGAGGGGAUGAUCUAGGGAGGAGGAAAAGAUGGAGUGAAUGCAGCAGGGACUAGAGACGCCAACAAUCUCUGAGGCUCAGUUUCUUCAUCUGUAAAAGAUGGUGAUGAGGCUCUGGCCCCCUUUCUGGCUCCAGUGUGAGUCAGCUGCGAUGGGGCAGGAACCCAGAGGCCACUCCCUGCUGUCUAGGCCUGGCUCCAGGAAUGGGUAGGAGGCGCUGAAAUGACCAGAGUUCCCCUCCCCCACCCCCCGUCCCCCAGAAUUUAUAGAUUCUUCAUUGUCCUGCACAAAGGCCUUCUUGGGAGGGGCGGGGUGGGUGAGGAGACAGGGGAAUUAAAAAGUCAGAGGGUGAGUAACAGCCAGCCACACCCAGGGCCCCAUGAAUCCGCCUGGGCCCCUGUGAGACCACUGACUUGCCCUCAGAGGCUUACAGGGCUCCUGCUGCAGGGACCAGCUCGCCCUGCUCUCAGCCCUGGUGGCAGAGGGAUGGGGGCAUGUGAAUAUGUGAGGGGUGGCUCGCCUUGUGCGAUCUCCGAUCUGACCUCUGCGAGUCCUUCCUCCCAUCUUGCUCCCUGGUGGGUGGUCCGCUGUCGUUCUAGUUCGCUGCUGUUGGUUCUGAGCAGGAAAAUGUACAGUCUGCGGGUGCCUGCUUCUCUGAUGAGAAGGUCCCGAGGCCCAGACUCCAGGAAACAGCCUCCUCCCCCACUCUGGCCCCUUGGGUAGAAUUGACAGAUGGUGCCCUGUUAACAGAUGACAUUGGAAAUCGGAAUUACUCAGCUGCUUGUCCCUCUGUCAUCCCCACGGAAGGGGGUGGCCUGCAAACUGGGAACGACAGUGAACUCUAUUUUGAGGGCUAUAGAGGACAGGGAAGGAGAUGCUCCAGGGCACAGGGGACCAGAACCAGGUACACAGAAGAUCUAACUUGGAAUCUCAUCUCUACCACGUACCAGCCAGGUGACCUAGGUGCGUCCAUCACCGUCUGAGCCUCUGCUCCCUCAUCUGUCAAAUGGGUCCAUGGGAAACUGUCCUACUCUCCUCCCUGGCUUUUAGGAAGAAAAUGGGGUGGUUUGUGCUUAUAAAAUGGGCUUUAAAACUUGUGAAGGAGUAAAAAAUGUAAGAAGUUGCUGAUUAUAAACAAUAAAUGGCAGCCCAUUCGUUGUUCAUAAAAUUACUUCUGAAACGUUUUUCUUAAAACAAUGUAGAAUAGAGCAGAAAACAUCACACAGUUUUAUAGAACUUUACUUUUAAUUAUGUGUAUGUCCAAAUGUCCUGGGUUCAGAUGCAAGCAUAUUUACUCUUACUUGUGGUCCAAAAACUUGAAACACUCAGAGUCAAGGAAAUUCUUCAGUGAUGUCUCCAGAAGACAAUGGUAAAUGGAAGGAAAGUAACAAUAUGAAAUGUACCAGGCCAAGAGGAAAGGGUGUGGCCAGGCUGGGGAGACCUGGUUGUGAGCAACUCCAUGGAACUGAGCUUGAUGGCAAGAGUUAGACGGUUUCCUUAGGGUUUGACUGACUGUCCUCUCAAUGGACAGUGAGGCUU
rnacentral:lncRNA from 1 species